UGCAAGUCGACGGUACAGGUCUUCGGACGCUGACGAGUGGCGAACGGGUGAGUAAUACAUCGGAACGUGCCCAGUCGUGGGGGAUAACUACUCGAAAGAGUAGCUAAUACCGCAUACGAUCUGAGGAUGAAAGCGGGGGACCUUCGGGCCUCGCGCGAUUGGAGCGGCCGAUGGCAGAUUAGGUAGUUGGUGGGAUAAAAGCUUACCAAGCCGACGAUCUGUAGCUGGUCUGAGAGGACGACCAGCCACACUGGGACUGAGACACGGCCCAGACUCCUACGGGAGGCAGCAGUGGGGAAUUUUGGACAAUGGGCGAAAGCCUGAUCCAGCAAUGCCGCGUGCAGGAUGAAGGCCUUCGGGUUGUAAACUGCUUUUGUACGGAACGAAAAAGCUUCUCCUAAUACGAGAGGCCCAUGACGGUACCGUAAGAAUAAGCACCGGCUAACUACGUGCCAGCAGCCGCGGUAAU
rnacentral:rRNA from 1 species